AAAAAAUCAUUACACAAAAAUCCAAUGCUUGAACAAGUGAGGCGUGAUUUCUUUCCAGCGUCAUUAUUGUGCAUCUGAAGGGUGAUGAUAACUGUAUGAUUUUGAGAGGUAAUUGCGCGGAUUAUAGUUUGGAACAAAAUGAAGUGCUCUGGACGCGCUAAUGAUAGAGCAUUGGAGCAUCGCACCGUGCUGUAACUGUAAAUGUGUUGCAUUUCCAGCCAUGGGCAAUAAUAAUAAUCUGACAGUGUCAGCGGAGGAUAGGCUAUUGAUCGCUUUACAGGUAUUGUAGUAGUAAAACCGUGAAUAGAGCAAGGGGGCUACUUGCUCCUUCGACUCUCCAGCCGAAUGAUGCGAUUGUGUCACGCCGUGUUCCUUGCGGACUGAGCAAAGGGCAUUACGCGUAAAAGUGCUUUGGUCAGGAAACUGUUUGUCUACCGGCUCUCUGCUCAUCGAGGAUGUCGAAAGGUUAACGACUGUUGGGGACCAAAUCACCUUUGAUAAAAACGAAAAGAGAGGCGGUGCCAGCUGAUGUCUUGAAUUGAAGUUUGAGGAGAUAUUUUGAUUCUUCAAGGAUGACAGCAGCAGAGCGGUAAAACUCUAUAGGCUACAUAAUGCUGUGGAUGGGGACAGAGUUCCUGCUUCUGUUUAUUUUCCCAUUGAAUUCAGCGCAGAUCUCUGAACUACCCGCAGUAAUGGACAGUGACAUGCUCACUGACGUUGCAUACCAGCCUGGGCCAUCGUACCUGAGUCUGAUCCUGUUGGUCGUGGCUGUGGGACUGUCCGGCAGUGUUUACCUCUGUGUGCUACAGUACAUUUGCACCGGCUGCUGCCAGCCUGUAGUUGUUGGACCUGAAGAUGAGAGCAUGUCAGGAAUGGUGUGAUAGCACGCUUGUCUGUCUUCAUGACUGUUUAUGUUUGCGUGCAACAACAAAUUUUUGUUGAACAAAGAACAAAGAACAAAUUCUUAUUUUUCAUUCACGUAACAGAGUUGAAGGCUCGUCUUAAGGACAUCUGAAUAUUAUUGUAAGAUAGAAUUAGUAAAAUCAUUUUUUGUGACGUUCCUCAUUUGUAAGUCACUUUUGAUAAAAGUACCUGCUAUGAUCACUAAAUUCAGUUCAAAAGCCUGACUGUAUGUUGGCAGUGAAUGCAUUUAUUCAGCCACAGAAUCAGACAUGUGACUGGAUGAUGCAAAUGGUGACUGAGGGGUUAAGCAGGUUUUGGACGCUCUGUCAAUCAGGAGAAAUCCUUCUCACAAAUCCUCUGUUUGCAUUGGUAUGACAGUGCCACCUGUACCUUCAGUCAACGUAAAAUGCUUCUUCUUUUUUUUUUAACAAGGACUAAUAAAAAUGAAACCAUUUAUGUGAAGAUUUUCUAAUUUCUUGAUUCACAGAAUUUGUAUUUUUAUCUUUAAAGUGAUCUAUAUUUGGAAUAAAGUGAUCCAUAAAGUGAUGCAAUGUAUCAUUCUAUUACAUUUAAAGAUAGAAUCUGAACUAUGACAUGUUAUUUACAUAUCAACAUCUCAUAUCAACAUCUUGUUUCAUUAAGAUGCUCCCUGGGGAAGUGAUCAGUUGCCAAGGGCUACUGCUGGAUCUAGUUGCCAUGGAAAUAAUUGCAUCUGCUUACCUCUAGAUGGGGCUGGCACAUAGGCUGUUCAUUUCGCCUAAUGGCAUGUAGGCCUAUUCAAAUAUUUACUAGAUUAGAUCUUGUAGAAAGACUUGUUUUGUAGAUGACUUAUAUGUUGCUUGUGUGUGUUCCAGUAAACACAUGAAUGUUCAUUGCACAUGCAUUGUCUUUGUGCACAAGAAUACCACAAAGUGAAUAGUCUUUUAGUCAUUUUUAUAGUAAUUUUGUCAGUGAUAAAACAGCUAGCAAAACAGGUUUGCUAACACAAAUGUUUUGUUUUUGUUCAGCUCUGAUGUCUAGCCAGAGUGUCAUCAGUUUAUAUAUAAAGCUUAUUGUUCUGAUACAUGUUCUCAUGCUCCUUAAUGAAAGCAAUGGUUAACACCAUCAUUGUGGUUUUGCUCUUUAAACCACUUCCUCAUACAGAAAGGUGUGUUAAAUGUUGUACUUCCCCUUAGAAACAUUUCCUCUUGCUCACACAUCUUUGACUCUGACACUUUGUAGGCCUAUGCUUUAGAGGUCACAGGUCAUUGCUUUUAUUUAACUUCUAUUUAUUUGUUCACUACAUAUUUGUAUUUAUAAAAAUAAU